rnacentral:rRNA from 1 species
UACGUAGGGUGCAAGCGUUGUCCGGAAUUAUUGGGGCGUAAAGAGCUCGUAGGCGGUCUGUCGCGUCGGCUGUGAAAACUCGGGGCUCAACUCCGAGCUUGCAGUCGAUACGGGCAGGCUAGAGUUCGGCAGGGGAGACUGGAAUUCCUGGUGUAGCGGUGAAAUGCGCAGAUAUCAGGAGGAACACCGAUGGCGAAGGCAGCCCCCUGGGCUGACACUGACGCUCAUGCACGAAAGCGUGGGGAGCAAACAGG